GUUCCUUCUCUUUCCAAAUACUAUGCAGAAACUCUGGAAAUCUUGUUAGUUCUGAUGUCAGCUCAGCACUCAGAUGUCAGGAAGAAAGGACUUCUUCAUUUUCUGAGUGCUGUACAACACAGAGUAAGAAACAAUCCCUUUCCCAAUCUAAAUAGACAAGAAGUGAGAUGUGAAACAGAGGCACAGAGAGGUGAGACAAGUCAUCCAAGGUCAGCCAGAAGGAUGAGCUCUAAUUCCUGCUGAUGGAUGCAAGUGAUAUUCUGAGAGGACAUCAACCAUAUGUACUUUGUUACAACGCCAUCCCAG